rnacentral:misc_RNA from 1 species
GGUUUCUCUCACAAACUUGGACCUGGAGAAGGCAAAUUUAAAAAGUUCAACUUCCAACUCAAUUGAUUGACAGUCAAGAAGAAUAUAAGCAAAUAUUUACUCCGCAACUAAUUAGCAUAUAGAAUGCACAUUGAAAGAAUUGAGGUGCAUAGCCGCAUGCCAUUUCCCACACAAAUAAUAAUUAAAGACAAAAAGUUGCACAAGACAAGAAACGAAACAAAAUGGAUCAACCUACAUGAGAGUGAAACUGUGAAUAGAUUGGUUUCCUUUUCUUGACCAAGAACCUAUUACUACAAGGUCCAGCACUGAACAAUGGAAGCAUAGAACUUGAUCUUUAGACACCAUUCUCACCACAUUCACCCAGAAAAAGAAGGAAAAAAGGGGGAAGAAAAAAUACACUAUAAUAUAAUAGAGAAUGUCAUAAACAUUGUGAUGUCGAACAAAGAACAAUAAGGAACAAAUCCUUAGGAGAAAGGGAACUAAUUCUCAAUUGUAUUAUUUUCAAUUAAUAAUCAUA